rnacentral:rRNA from 1 species
UACGUAGGGGGCCAGCGUUGUCCGGAAUCAUUGGGCGUAAAGCGCGCGUAGGCGGCCAGAUAAGUCCGGUGUGAAAGUCAAAGGCUCAACCUUUGAAUGCCGCUGGAAACUGCCUGGCUUGAGUCCGGAAGGGGCGAGUGGAAUCCCUGGUGUAGCGGUGAAAUGCGCAGAUAUCAGGAGGAACACCAAUGGCGAAGGCAGCUCGCUGGAACGGUACUGACGCUGAGGCGCGAAAGCGUGGGGAGCGAACAGG